rnacentral:rRNA from 1 species
UGCGUAGGCGGCGCGGAAAGUAGGGUGUGAAAUCCCUCGGCUCAACCGAGGAACUGCGCUCUAAACUACCGUGCUCGAGGGAGAUAGAGGUGAGCGGAACUGAGGGUGGAGCGGUGAAAUGCGUUGAUAUCCUCAGGAACACCGGUGGCGAAAGCGGCUCACUGGAUCUCUUCUGACGCUGAGGCACGAAAGCUAGGGUAGCGAACG